UGCCAGCAGCCGCGGUAAUACGGAAGGUGCGAGCGUUAAUCGGAAUUACUGGGCGUAAAGCGCACGUAGGUGGCUUGGUAAGUCGGAUGUGAAAGCCCUGGGCUCAACCUGGGAUUGUCAUUUGAUACUGCAUUGCUAGAGUAUGGUAGAGGGAAGUGGAAUUUCCGGUGUAGCGGUGAAAUGCGUAGAUAUCGGAAGGAACACCAGUGGCGAAGGCGGCUUCCUGGACCAUAACUGACACUGAGGUGCGAAAGCGUGGGGAGCAAACAGGAUUAGAUA
rnacentral:rRNA from 1 species